rnacentral:rRNA from 1 species
AUUGAACGCUGGCGGCAGGCCUAACACAUGCAAGUCGAGCGAGCGGCGCGCGGGUGAGUAAUGUCUGGGAAACUGCCCGAGGGAGGGGGGUAACACCUGGGAACGGUAGCUAAUACCGCAUAUCCUCAGAUGUGCCCCGAUGGGAUUAGCUGGUAGGUGGGGUAACGGCGCACCUAGGCGACGAUCCCUCGCUGGUCUGAGAGGAUGACCAGCCACACUGGAACUGAGACACGGUCCAGACUCCUACGGGAGGCAGCAGUGGGAAAUAUUGCACAAUGGGCGCAAGCCUGAUGCAGCCAUGCCGCGUGUGUGAAGAAGGCCUUCGGGUUGUAAAGCACUUUCAGCGGGGAGGCGUUACCCGCAGAAGAAGCACCGGCUAACUCCGUGCCAGCAGCCGCGGUAAUAC